rnacentral:rRNA from 1 species
AACGAACGCUGGCGGCAGGCCUAACACAUGCAAGUCGAACGCUCUCUUCGGAGGGAGUGGCAGACGGGUGAGUAACACGUGGGAACCUACCCCUUGGUACGGAAUAACUGAUGGAAACGUUAGCUAAUACCGUAUGAGCGCUGAGGCGGAAAGAUUUAUCGCCAAGGGAUGGGCCCGCGUAGGAUUAGCUAGUUGGUGGGGUAAAGGCCUACCAAGGCGACGAUCCUUAGCUGGUCUGAGAGGAUGAUCAGCCACACUGGGACUGAGACACGGCCCAGACUCCUACGGGAGGCAGCAGUGGGGAAUAUGGGACAAUGGGCGCAAGCCUGAUCCAGCCAUGCCGCGUGAGUGAUGAAGGCCUUAGGGUUGUAAAGCUCCUUCACCUGGGAAGAUAAUGACGGUACCAGGAGAAGAAGCCCCGGCUAACUUCGUGCCAGCCGCCGCCGUAA